UACAGAGGGGGCAAGCGUCGUUCGGAAUUACUGGGCGUAAAGGGCGCGUAGGCGGCCCGCUAAGUCGAACGUGAAAUCCCCGAGCUCAACUCGGGAACUGCGUCCGAUACUGGCGGGCUUGAAUCCGGGAGAGGGAUGCGGAAUUCCAGGUGUAGCGGUGAAAUGCGUAGAUAUCUGGAGGAACACCGGUGGCGAAGGCGGCAUCCUGGACCGGCAUUGACGCUGAGGCGCGAAAGCUAGGGGAGCAAACGGG
rnacentral:rRNA from 1 species